UACCAAAAUGCUAGCUCAAACAUUAAGUUCAAAUAAAAUUAAAAAUAACCCCUAAUACCCUAAAAAAGUAACAUUAAAACAUUUUUUAACCUAAGUAAGGGAGACUGAAAAGGAAUAAUGAAGCUAUAAAACUAGUACCGCAAGGGAAAGCUGAAAAAGAAAUUAAACAAAUAUUUAAGUCAACAAUAGCAAAGAUUAAAUCUUGUACCUUUUGCAUCAUGGUUUAACAAGAUAAUUCAAGCAAAAAGAUUUUUAGUUUGUUAUCCCGAAACUAAGAGAGCUACUUCGAGACAGUCAGAACAAGUGGACAAACCCGUACCUGUGGCAAAAGGUUGGGGUGAGCUCUGAGUAGAGGUGAUAAGCCAAACGAGCUUAGUUAUAGCUGGUUGCCUGAGAAAUGGAUAAAAGUUCAGCCUAUUUUACCUCCUAAACCACUCAAAGUUAAAAUAAGUAGAUUUAGUUAAUGGAAUAUAGAGUUAGUCAAAAGGGGUACAGCUCUUUUGACACAGGACACAACCUUAAUAAGAGGUUAAAGAUCAUAAACAAUAAAGUACACACAUGCCUUUGUAGGCCUAAAAGCAGCCAUCAAAAUAGAGAGCGUUAAAGCUCAAGCACUAGCACACCUUUUAAUUUAGAUAACUAUUCUUAAACCCCUAAAUAUAUCAGGCCUUUUCAUAACAUAUGAAAACAAUAAUGUUAAUAUGAGUAAUAAGGGAAUUUAAAGAUUCUCUCCUUAGCAAAAGUGUGCCUCGGAUCGAACUAACGCCGAAAAUUAAUAACCCUAACAUUGAGGGAAGUGUUGUAAAAAAGUAUGUCUAGAAAAAACAACAAUAAGAAUUAUCAACCCUACACCGGAUUGCUAACUGGGAUAAACUAAAAAGGUGAGAAGGAACUCGGCAAACACAAAAUAUAGCCUCGCCUGUUUACCAAAAACACCGCCUCUUGCAUAUAAAGAAUAAGAGGUCCCGCCUGCCCUGUGACCACAAGUUUAACGGCCGCGGUAUUUUGACCGUGCAAAGGUAGCGCAAUCACUUGUCUUUUAAAUAAAGACCUGUAUGAAUGGCAUAACGAAGGCUAAACUGUCUCCUUACCUAGGUUAAUGAAAUUGAUCUUCCCGUGCAGAAGCGGGAAUUAACUCAUAAGACGAGAAGACCCUGUGGAGCUUUAGAUGAAUAAAUGAAUUGAUUAAAUAUUUAACCCUGUAAAGGUAACAAACCAAUAACCUCAUUUUAAUAUCUUUAGUUGGGGCGACCACGGAGUAAGACAAAGCCUCCGUGAGGAUUAAGGUAAAACCUUUCACCUAAGAAUGUCACUUCUAAGCACCAAAAUCUUUGACCUAAAGAUCCGGUAAUAACCGAUCGACGAACCUAGUUACCCCAGGGAUAACAGCGCAAUCCUCUUCAAGAGCCCUUAUCGACAAGAGGGUUUACGACCUCGAUGUUGGAUCAGGACAUCCUAAUGGUGUAGCCGCUAUUAAAGGUUCGUUUGUUCAACGAUUAAAGUCCUACGUGAUCUGAGUUCAGACCGGAGUAAUCCAGGUCAGUUUCUAUCUAUGAAGUGACCUUCUUCAGUACGAAAGGACCAAGAAGGAUGGGCCUAUGCUUUAAAAUAAGCCCACCCUCAAACCUUGAAAAAAUAUCAAAGGUUCAACAACACAAAAUAAAUUAAUAUAUAACUACAU
rnacentral:rRNA from 1 species